GGAGAGGUGGCCGAGUGGCUGAAGGCACUCGCCUGCUAAGCGAGUAGGGGGUUCACGCUCCCUCGCGGGUUCGAAUCCCGCCCUCUCCG
rnacentral:tRNA from 1 species